rnacentral:rRNA from 1 species
UCCCAAACCCAAUGUGAACGUUACCAAACUGUUGCCUCGGCGGGAUCUCUGCCCCGGGUGCGUCGCAGCCCCGGACCAAGGCGCCCGCCGGAGGACCAACCAAAACUCUUAUUGUAUACCCCCUCGCGGGUUUUUUUUAUAAUCUGAGCCUUCUCGGCGCCCCUCGUGGGCGUUUCGAAAAUGAAUCAAAACUUUCAACAACGGAUCUCUUGGUUCUGGCAUCGAUGAAGAACGCAGCGAAAUGCGAUAAGUAAUGUGAAUUGCAGAAUUCAGUGAAUCAUCGAAUCUUUGAACGCACAUUGCGCCCGCCAGUAUUCUGGCGGGCAUGCCUGUCCGAGCGUCAUUUCAACCCUCGAACCCCUCCGGGGGGUCGGCGUUGGGGAUCGGCCCUCCCUCUGCGGGGGCCGUCUCCGAAAUACAGUGGCGGUCUCGCCGCAGCCUCUCCUGCGCAGUAGUUUGCACACUCGCACCGGGAGCGCGGCGCGUCCACAGCCGUUAAACACCCAACUUUCUGAAAUGUUGACCUCGGAUCAGGUAGGAAUACCCGCUGAACUUAAGCAUAUCAAUAAGCGGAGG